rnacentral:rRNA from 1 species
UACCAGCUCUCCGAGUUGUAGGGAUGAUUAUUGGGCUUAAAGCGUCCGUAGUUGGCUUAGCAAGUUUCCUGUUAAACCCAGCGACUCAAUCGUUGGUUCGCGGGAAAUACUACUAGGCUAGGAGGCGGGAGAGGUCAACGGUACUUCUGGGGUAGGGGUGAAAUCCUAUAAUCCCGGGAGGACCACCAGUGGCGAAGGCUGUUGACUAGAACGCGCUCGACGGUGAGGGACGAAAGCUGGGGGAGCGAACCGGAUUAGAUACCCGGGUAGUCCCAGCCGCAAACGAUGCGAGCUAGGUGUUGGGAUGGCUACGUGCCAUUUCAGUGCCGCAGGGAAGCCAUUAAGCUCGCCGCCUGGGGAGUACGGCCGCAAGGCUGAAACUUAAAGGAAUUGGCGGGGGAGCACCACAAGGCGUGAAGCUUGCGGUUC